rnacentral:tRNA from 1 species
UGGGGUGUGACUCAGUGGCACAGUGCUUGCCUAGCAUGCAAGAAGCUCUAGUUUGAUUCCUUGCGCUUCAG